CCUACGGGAGGCAGCAGUGGGGAAUUUUGGACAAUGGGCGCAAGCCUGAUCCAGCCAUGCCGCGUGUGGGAAGAAGGCCUUCGGGUUGUAAACCACUUUUGUCAGGGAAGAAACGGCUCUUACUAAUAUUAGGGGCUAAUGACGGUACCUGAAGAAUAAGCACCGGCUAACUACGUGCCAGCAGCCGCGGUAAUACGUAGGGUGCAAGCGUUAAUCGGAAUUACUGGGCGUAAAGCGUGCGCAGGCGGCUUUGCAAGACAGAUGUGAAAUCCCCGGGCUCAACCUGGGAACUGCAUUUGUGACUGCAUGGCUAGAGUACGGUAGAGGGGGAUGGAAUUCCGCGUGUAGCAGUGAAAUGCGUAGAUAUGCGGAGGAACACCGAUGGCGAAGGCAAUCCCCUGGACCUGUACUGACGCUCAUGCACGAAAGCGUGGGGAGCAAACAGGAUUAGAUACCCUGGUAGUCCACGCCCUAAACGAUGUCAACUGGUUGUUGGACGGCUUGCUGUUCAGUAACGAAGCUACGCGUGAGUUGACCGCCUGGGGAAGUCGGCCGCAAGGUUGAAACUUNAAUUGAUUGACGGNUUGNGAGNGCGAGCGACGACGAGGAGGAGG
rnacentral:rRNA from 1 species